rnacentral:rRNA from 1 species
CCUACGGGGGGCAGCAGUGAGGAAUAUUGGUCAAUGGACGAGAGUCUGAACCAGCCAAGUAGCGUGAAGGAUGACUGCCCUAUGGGUUGUAAACUUCUUUUAUAUGGGAAUAAAACAGGGUAUGUAUACCCUCUUUUAUGUACCAUAUGAAUAAGGAUCGUCUAACUCCGUGCCAGCAGCCGCGGUAAUACGGAGGAUCCGUGCGUUAUCCGGAUUUAUUGGGUUUAAAGGGAGCGUAGGUGGAUUGUUAAGUCAGUUGUGAAAGUUUGCGGCUCAACCGUAAAAUUGCAGUUGAAACUGGCAGUCUUGAGUACAGAAGAGGUGGGCGGAAUUCGUGGUGUAGCGGUGAAAUGCUUAGAUAUCACGAAGAACUCCGAUUGCGAAGGCAGCUCACUGGACUGCAACUGACACUGAUGCUCGAAAGUGUGGGUAUCGAACAGGAUUAGAUACCCCAGUAGUC